UACGUAGGGUCCGAGCGUUGUCCGGCAUUACUGGGCGUAACGUGCUCGUAGGUGGUUUGUCGCGUUGUUCGUGAAAACUCACAGCUCAACUGUGGGCGUGCGGGCGAUACGGGCAGACUAGAGUACUGCAGGGGAGACUGGAAUUCCUGGUGUAGCGGUGGAAUGCGCAGAUAUCAGGAGGAACACCGGUGGCGAAGGCGGGUCUCUGGGCAGUAACUGACGCUGAGGAGCGAAAGCGUGGGGAGCGAACAGG
rnacentral:rRNA from 1 species